UUCCAGUGAAGAUGACCAAGUCAAACAGCCACACCCAAGGCCACCUCCACUCUGGUCACCUGCCGAGGGGAGCCGACUCUCUUCUAGGAGGAGAAUUACUGACAAUCUGAGAUGUGAAAUUAAAAUGAUCCAUCAAGAAAGCAGCUGACACAGUCAACACGUGUCACACAACGAUAAUGAUGACCUUCAACCAAACUGAAGAUACAAAGCUGGAAAGCAAACACGUGCAGACACAUAACUCUCACAAAGGGCACCAAGCAAACAGCCAAAUGAGAAAAUGGGGGAGCAGACAGGAAAGCAAGUCUACAGAGCCCCCGAGACGCCCCGGACCCUUCUAUGGUCUCCGAGGCCCGUUCUUAGCUCGCCUGCUCCCCUCACAUACCCAACGUCUCGGAGUGCUUUUUCACGUUGGCACGUUGCUGGAGUACAGAGGUCAAGUUUUAGAGGGCUUCCAGCCGCUACAGGACCAGUUUCUCCUAGCGUCCACGCCCAGCUCUCUGCACACAGCCACGAACACACUGACAUCUCGC